UUGCUUCGGCAGCACAUUUACUAAAAUCGUAAUGAGGAACAAUAUCGAGAUUAGCAUGGUCCCUAUGCAAGGAUGACACGCAAAUUCUUGACACAUUCCAUAUUUUU